AAGUCCAGCCGUCUGAAGUACCACACAAGGUUCCAGAAGAUGAUAGGAUGGUGGUCCACCAUGUCAGCCUCAGUAAUUACUGGGUCGCCCUCAUUCUCCAGAAGGCUCUCCAGCUCCUUCCACAGCACCAGCGGGCUCAGCUGGACCAAAGGCACUGACGCUACGGGCCAUGGCCAAUCCAGAAGAAAAAGCCCCGUGGCGCCACUCCGAGGGGAUCUUGACACCGUGAGAUCUCAUAGAUCGAGAAAUACUGGGGGAUGGUGGCGAGAUGGCAGCGUUGGGACAAGGGGUGGACAAGGUGGAUGUCCCUGUGCCAAAGCCCGUGGAGGCAGAAUAUGAAGAGCUCAUCGCCUCGUCGACAGAUGCGCUUCCCUUUAAGAACAUCCUGAGAACAAAAGAAGGGAUCGAGUCACAUUGACAAUCAUCAUCAUUGACCAUGCUAUGAUAGUGGACUUGUACACUGUGCAUCUGGAUGCCAUGACUUAAAAACUAUAUUUUAUUACCUGCCGGGUCCUCUCGUGUCUCUAAUCUCCACGUUAAGAAAAGGUAGGAAAGGGUUUCCGCAGAAGGGACAGAUGGUGUUUAGAUUGGAGUCAUCGGCUGUCCAACCAGCCAUGAUUUCCUCAUCGUAGACCAAACAGUCACAUGUCUUACACCGUGAACAACUUGAUAUCAACAGCUGGGGGGGUGGAAGAGACAAAUUGAAAAUACUUUGAGCAAAAACAAAUAAAUAUUCGAUAUUUCGACAGUAUAUGCACACACACACGCGCACACACACACACACACACACACACACACACACACACACACACACACACACACACACACACACACACACACACACACACACACACACACACACA